rnacentral:rRNA from 1 species
AGUGCUCAAAGCAUGCSUGAYGYAUGAWUMAUGGUGCWUGGAAUAAUGGAAUAGGACCUCGGUUCUAUUUUGUUGGUUUUCGGAACACSAGGUAAUGAUUAAGAGGGACAGACGGGGGCWUUCGUWUUGCKACGCUAGAGGUGAAWUUCUUGGACCGUCGCAAGACGAACUACUGCGAAAGCAUUUGCCAAGAAUGUUUCCWUUAAUCAAGAACGAAAGUUAGAGGUUCGAAGGCGAUCAGAUACCGCCCUAGUUCUWACCAUAAACGAUGCCAGCCAGCGAUCCGGCUGUGUUCCUCAAAUGACACGCCGGGCAGCUUCCGGGAAACCAAAGCUUUUGGGUUCCGGGGGAAGUAUGGUUGCAAAGCUGAAACUUAAAGGAAUUGACGGAAGCGCACCACCAGGAAUGGAGCCUGCGGCUUAAUUUGACUCAACACGGGAAAGCUUACCCGGAUAGGACACAGGAAGGAUUGACAGAUUAAGAGCUCUUUCUUGAUUCUGUGGAAGGUGGUGCAUGGCCAUUCUUAGUUGGUGGAGUGAUUUGUCUGGUUAAUUCCGAUAACGAUCGAGACUCUAGCCUACUAAAUAGACGUUCCGAUUCUUGUUGUCGGACGUUCUUCUUAGAGGGACACGCGGCGUUUAGCCGCACGAGACAGAGCAAUAGUAGGUCUGUGAUGCCCUUAGAUGUCCGGGGCCGCACGCGCGCUACAUUGAAGGAAUCAGCGUGUGCUUUCCCUGUYYGACAGGACUGGGKRACCCGUUGRACCUCYUUYGUGCUUGGGAUAGGMGMUUGUAAUUGUCCGCCUUGAACGAGGAAKUYCCAGUARGCACGAGUCAUCAGCUCGUGU